rnacentral:rRNA from 1 species
CCUACGGGUGGCUGCAGUGGGGAAUAUUGGACAAUGGGGGGAACCCUGAUCCAGCCAUGCCGCGUGUGUGAAGAAGGCCCUCGGGUUGUAAAGCACUUUCAGUGAGGAAGAACGCCUGGUGGUUAAUACCCAUCAGGAAAGACAUCACUCACAGAAGAAGCACCGGCUAACUCCGUGCCAGCAGCCGCGGUAAUACGGAGGGUGCGAGCGUUAAUCGGAAUUACUGGGCGUAAAGCGCGCGUAGGUGGCUUGAUAAGCCGGUUGUGAAAGCCCCGGGCUCAACCUGGGAACGGCAUCCGGAACUGUCAAGCUAGAGUGCAGGAGAGGAAGGUAGAAUUCCCGGUGUAGCGGUGAAAUGCGUAGAGAUCGGGAGGAAUACCAGUGGCGAAGGCGGCCUUCUGGACUGUCACUGACACUGAGGUGCGAAAGCGUGGGUAGCAAACAGGAUUAGAUACCCUUGUAGU